ACUCCUGCGGGAGGCAGCAGUGGGGAAUAUUGCACAAUGGGCGCAAGCCUGAUGCAGCCAUGCCGCGUGUAUGAAGAAGGCCUUCGGGUUGUAAAGUACUUUCAGCGGGGAGGAAGGCGAUAAGGUUAAUAACCUUGUUGAUUGACGUUACCCGCAGAAGAAGCACCGGCUAACUCCGUGCCAGCAGCCGCGGUAAUACGGAGGGUGCAAGCGUUAAUCGGAAUUACUGGGCGUAAAGCGCACGCAGGCGGUCUGUCAAGUCGGAUGUGAAAUCCCCGGGCUCAACCUGGGAACUGCAUUCGAAACUGGCAGGCUAGAGUCUUGUAGAGGGGGGUAGAAUUCCAGGUGUAGCGGUGAAAUGCGUAGAGAUCUGGAGGAAUACCGGUGGCGAAGGCUGCCCCCUGGACAAAGACUGACGCUCAGGUGCGAAAGCGUGGGGAGCAAACAGGAUUAGAAACCCCUGUAGUCCCAUGA
rnacentral:rRNA from 1 species